rnacentral:sRNA from 1 species
CGGCCAUGAUCUGCGGGCAGAUCAGGUGCACGUGGCAGUCGAUGGCUCCCGCGGUCAGAAUCCUGCCGUUACCCGCGAUGAUCUCGGUGGACGGGCCGACCACGAGAUUCGGGUGCACCCCCGACAUGAUGUCGGGGUUGCCGGCCUUGCCGAUGCCGACGAUCCUGCCGUCGCGGAUGCCGAUGUCGGCCUUGAUGAUUCCCCAGUGAUCGAGGAUCACGGCACCGGUGAUGACGGUGUCCGGCGCACCGUCGGCCCGGGUGGCCCGGCUCUGGCCCAUCGAUUCGCGGAG